UCAGCUGUUGUUCCUUUUGGUCAUUCAAGCUGUCUUAUGGGGGUCGUCUCCAAGGACAGGACCACCGUACAGUCGGUGCACAUACCUAGCAGCCCACCAUGUGACAGUUGUGUGAUAAACUACCGAUUACCCAACAGGAGGGGCAUGUACUACAGGCAUGCUGUUGCCCCUGAUGAACAAAACAUUUGUGCCCCUGAAAACCAACGCAAGCAUUGCUGUCAUGCCUGAUGAACCAAACAUAAACACCGCUGGCAACCAGCCACUGCCCUGGCAACCAAAAAGACACUAUGAAGAGGAUAAAAACUCAAAGACUUCCAAAGUAGAAUGGAUACCCCUCCACUGAACUGCAGCCAUGCAGGUCAAGGAGGUGUUGCUGACCAACCUUCAGCCCUCUACAGACCAGCGAGACAUCACUGGAUCCACAGUGCCACUUACAGAUCAGAGCUGUGCCAAAGGGCAGGUCUCAUUCUCCUCCUCUGGGAUCCUCAUAGAAUAUUAUUUCUAAUUCUCAUUUGAAUCAAGGACCACAGAACGGAGGAAAACUCAGAAGGAACUAUGACAUGAAUUCAUUUCAUCCUCAAAAAUUGUUAACCUCUUAGACUCUUAUUUUCCUUUCCCUGUAAUUUUUUUCAUUCAUUACUUAAUUCAGAAUAAGAAACAAACUAGCUAAUGCUUGGCAAAAAAAAAAUGACUGAAAAUUGGCUGUAUCACUAGUGCCCUACGUUAUUCUAAAGAUACAACAGAGUAUGUGAUGUUAAUAAAUAUCACGCAGUUUGCCAAUUUAAA